rnacentral:rRNA from 1 species
UACGGGGGGAGCAAGCGUUGUUCGGAUUUACUGGGCGUAAAGCGCACGUAGGCGGAUUGUUAAGUCGGGGGUGAAAUCCUGGAGCUCAACUCCAGAACUGCCUUCGAUACUGGCGAUCUCGAGUUCGGGAGAGGUGAGUGGAACUGCGAGUGUAGAGGUGAAAUUCGUAGAUAUUCGCAAGAACACCAGUGGCGAAGGCGGCUCACUGGCCCGAUACUGACGCUGAGGUGCGAAAGCGUGGGGAGCAAACAGG